GCCCGGGUGGCUCAGUCGGUUGAGCAUGUCUGACUUCCACUCAGGUCAUGAUCUCAUGGCUUUGUGAGUUCAAGUCCUGCAUCGGGCU
rnacentral:tRNA from 1 species